UACGGGGGGGGCAAGCGUUGUUCGGAUUUACUGGGCGUAAAGGGCGCGUAGGCGGCCACUGCAAGUCAGUUGUGAAAUCUCCGGGCUUAACUCGGAAAGGUCAACUGAUACUGCAGGGCUAGAGUGCAGAAGGGGCAACUGGAAUUCUCGGUGUAGCGGUGAAAUGCGUAGAUAUCGAGAGGAACACCUGCGGCGAAGGCGGGUUGCUGGGCUGACACUGACGCUGAAGCGCGAAAGCCAGGGGAGCGAACGGG
rnacentral:rRNA from 1 species